CACGAUGCAGCUCCAAGCGCUCCUAUCGAAGAAACUGCUACUGCGCAUGUGACAGCUGGUCACUCCUUCUCCCUUGCACCUCCAAGCUCCAAGCUGCAUCCGACUUGAGCUCUGAUGCAUCGUCAAGCGUCCAUAGAGACCUUAUCUCAAAGAGCCGGAAAACGUUGUGCAGGUAGUACGGGUAGCUCGUUAUUCUCGAGAUAACAGAAGAACCUAUAGGACUUGGGAAGCCUGACACCGUAGUCUCUCUGUGCGAACUGAGAUCUUACAGUCUCAGAGUAGAGAAUGAUCAGAAGACUGGACGUACUUCAAAGUCGAGAGCAAAGUAUACAAGCAGAAUUUUCUGAAAUUGAGGCUAGCACUAUAUCAUAGAUUCUUAAAUAACACUGUUGAAUAUAAGUAUUUAUGCUCCAUUCAGGUAAUUCUAUUUGUUAUGUUUAGAGACUUCAUUUUUAGUAUAUAAAAGAUGAUUAAAAGCUAUGUACAAUAAUUAUUAUGUAUUCUGAAUAAAGUCUGGAAAACAAAAA